CCUACGGGAGGCAGCAGUGGGGAAUAUUGCACAAUGGGCGAAAGCCUGAUGCAGCAACGCCGCGUGAGCGAUGAAGGCCUUAGGGUCGUAAAGCUCUGUCCUCAAGGAAGAUAAUGACGGCACUUGAGGAGGAAGCCCCGGCUAACUACGUACCAGCAGCCGCGGUAAUACGUAGGGGGCUAGCGUUAUCCGGAAUUACUGGGCGUAAGGGGUGCGUAGGUGGUUUCUUAAGUCAGGGGUGAAAGGCUACGGCUCAACCGUAGUAAGCCUUUGAAACUGGAGAACUUGAGUGCAGGAGAGGAGAGUGGAAUUCCUGGUGUAGCGGUGAAAUGCGUAGAUAUUAGGAGGAACACCAGUUGCGAAGGCGGCUCUCUGGACUGUAACUGACACUGAGGCACGAAAGCGUGGGGAGCAAACAGGAUUAGAUACCCCAGUAGUC
rnacentral:rRNA from 1 species